AACGCUGGCGGCACGCUUAACACAUGCAAGUCGAACGGAGAAUAUUUGAGUUUACUUAGAUAUUCUUAGUGGCGGACGGGUGAGUAACACGUGAGCAACCUGCCUCUGAGAGGGGGAUAGCUUCUGGAAACGGAUGGUAAUACCCCAUAACAUAGUCUGAAGACAUCUUUAGACUAUCAAAGGUUUAUCGCUCAGAGAUGGGCUCGCGUCUGAUUAGCUAGUUGGUGAGGUAACGGCCCACCAAGGCGACGGUCAGUAGCCGGACUGAGAGGUUGAACGGCCACAUUGGGACUGAGACACGGCCCAGACUCCUACGGGAGGCAGCAGUGGGGAAUAUUGCACAAUGGGGGAAACCCUGAUGCAGCGAUGCCGCGUGGAGGAAGAAGGUUUUCGGAUUGUAAACUCCUGUCUUAAAGGACGAUAAUGACGGUACUUUAGGAGGAAGCUCCGGCUAACUACGUGCCAGCCGCCGC
rnacentral:rRNA from 1 species